rnacentral:rRNA from 1 species
GCGUCCCAUUAGUUAGUUGGCAGGGUAAUGGCCUACCAAGGCAGCGAUGGUUAGUUGGUCUGAGAGGAUGAUCAGCCACACUGGAACUGGUACACGCUCCAGACUCCUACGGGAGGCAGCAGUGAGGAAUUUUGCGCAAUGGGGGAAACCCUGACGCAGCAACGCCGCGUGAGUGAUGAAGGCUUUCGAGUCGUAAAGCUCUGUCAAGUGGGAAGAAGUCAUGCAUGGCCAAUAUCCAUGUAUGUUGACGGUACCACUGAAGGAAGCACCGGCUAACUCCGUGCCAGCAGCCGCGGUAAUACGGGGGGUGCAAGCGUUACUCGGAAUCAUUGGGCGUAAAGGGCGCGUAGGCGGCCUGAUCAGUCAGAUGUGAAAGCCCGGGGCUCAACCCCGGAAGAGCAUUUGAUACUGUCAGGCUUGAGUAUGGGAGAGGAAAGUGGAAUUCCUGGUGUAGAGGUGAAAUUCGUAGAUAUCAGGAGGAACACCGGUGGCGAAGGCGACUUUCUGGACCAAUACUGACGCUGAGGCGCGAAGGCGUGGGGAGCAAACAGGAUUAGAUACCCUGGUAGUCCACGCAGUAAACGUAGAGCACUAGGUGUAGCGGGUAUUGACCCCUGCUGUGCCGCAGCUAACGCAUUAA